rnacentral:rRNA from 1 species
AAAGCGGGAGCAAUCUCGCAAGUAAAGUGGCGUACGGGUGAGUAACACGUGGAUCAUCUGCCCUGGAGUGGGGAAUAACGCUGGGAAACCGGCGCUAAUACCGCAUAUACCCGAGAGGGGAAAGCAGCAAUGCGCUCGAGGAGGAGUCCGCGGCCGAUUAGCUAGUUGGCAGGGUAAAAGCCUACCAAGGCUGUGAUCGGUAGCCGGCCUGAGAGGGCACACGGCCACACUGGCACUGAAACACGGGCCAGACUCCUACGGGAGGCAGCAGUGGGGAAUCUUGCACAAUGGGGGAAACCCUGAUGCAGCGACGCCGCGUGAGCGAUGAAGCCCUUCGGGGUGUAAAGCUCUUUCGGCAGGGAAGAUAAUGACGGUACCUGCAGAAGCAGCUGCGGCUAACUACGUGCCAGCAGCCGCGGUAAUACGUAGGCAGCAAGCGUUGUUCGGAGUUACUGGGCGUAAAGGGUGUGUAGGUGGCGCGCUAAGUUCCGUGUGAAAUCUCCCGGCUCAACCGGGAGGGUGCGCGGAAAACUGGCAGGCUAGAGUACGGGAUGGGAGAGUAGAAUUCCUGGUGUAGCGGUGAAAUGCGUAGAUAUCAGGAGGAAUACCGGUGGUGUAGACGGCUCUCUGGACCGUAACUGACACUGAAACACGAAAGCGUGGGUAGCAAACAGGAUUAGAUACCCUGGUAGUCCACGCCCUAAACGAUGCAUAUUUGGUGUAGGUCAUUCAGUUGAUCUGUGCCGGAGCUAACGCGUUAAAUAUGCCGCCUGGGGAGUACAGUCGCAAGGCUGAAACUCAAAGGAAUUGAC